AUUGAACGCUGGCGGCAUGCUUUACACAUGCAAGUCGAACGGUAACAGGCCUUCUGGUGCUGACGAGUGGCGAACGGGUGCGUAAUGCAUCGGAACGUACCCAGAGGUGGGGGAUAACGCAGCGAAAGCUGUGCUAAUACCGCAUGUGAUCUGAGGAUGAAAGCGGGGGACCGAGCAGCAAUGUUUGGCCUCGCGCCUUUGGAGCGGCCGAUGUCGGAUUAGCUAGUUGGUGGGGUAAAGGCCUACCAAGGCGACGAUCCGUAGCUGGUCUGAGAGGACGAACAGCCACACUGGGACUGAGACACGGCCCAGACUCCUACGGGAGGCAGCAGUGGGGAAUUUUGGACAAUGGGCGCAAGCCUGAUCCAGCAAUGCCGCGUGCGGGAAGAAGGCCUUCGGGUUGUAAACCGCUUUUGGCAGGAACGAAACGGUGUCCGCUAAUACCGGGCGCUAAUGACGGUACCUGCAGAAUAAGCACCGGCUAACUACGUG
rnacentral:rRNA from 1 species